rnacentral:rRNA from 1 species
GACGAACGCUGGCGGCGUGCUUAACACAUGCAAGUCGAACGGAAGGGCCCUGCUUUUGUGGGGUGCUCGAGUGGCGAACGGGUGAGUAACACGUGAGUAACCUGCCCUUGACUUUGGGAUAACUUCAGGUAACUGGGUCUAAUACCGGAUAGGAGCUCCUGCUGCAUGGUGGGGGUUGGAAAGUUUCGGCGGUUGGGGAUGGACUCGCGGCUUAUCAGCUUGUUGGUGGGGUAGUGGCUUACCAAGGCUUUGACGGGUAGCCGGCCUGAGAGGGUGACCGGCCACAUUGGGACUGAGAUACGGCCCAGACUCCUACGGGAGGCAGCAGUGGGGAAUACUGCACAAUGGGCGGAAGCCUGAUGCAGCAACGCCGCGUGCGGGAUGACGGCCUUCGGGUUGUAAACCGCUUUCGCCUGUGACGAAGCGUGAGUGACGGUAAUGGGUAAAGAAGCACCGGCUAACUACGUG